rnacentral:rRNA from 1 species
UACAGAGACUGCAAGCGUUAUUCGGAUUCACUGGGCGUAAAGGGUGCGCAGGCGGCCAAGUGUGUGAGGCGUGAAAGCCCGGGGCUUAACCCCGGAAUUGCACCUCAAACUACAUGGCUAGAGCAUUGGAGAGGGUAGCGGAAUUCACGGUGUAGCAGUGAAAUGCGUAGAUAUCGUGAGGAACACCAGGGGCGAAGGCGGCUACCUGGACAAUUGCUGACGCUCAGGCACGAAAGCGUGGGGAGCAAAAGGG